ACAAUGACUGUGAAGGAAAGAAGAUCAGAAAAUGGGUUCACAGAGAGUCGACAGCUGCUGGGAGUCGAUAAUCCGUUUCUGAAUGAUAACUGGUUCCAGAGUCGUCCGGGUGACAGGUAGUCCGGAACGGGAGGUCCCGUUACAGACCUUAGCCUUAUACCGUUGCGGUAAGAGGUGAAAGGGCCGGUCUUUUGACUGGCUGAAUCAGGGUGGUACAGCGUGGAAUUGUUUGCCUCGCCCCUAGA
rnacentral:ncRNA from 1 species